GCCGAAAUAGCUCAGUUGGGAGAGCGUUAGACUGAAGAUCUAAAGGUCCCUGGUUUGAACCCAGCUUUCGGCA